UGGCGGACGGGUGAGUAACGCGUGGGUAACCUGCCUCACACAGGGGGAUAACAGUUGGAAACGACCGCUAAUACCGCAUAAGCCGGAAGGAUCGCAUGAUUCGGCCGGAAAAGAUUUAUCGGUGUGAGAUGGACCCGCGUCUGAUUAGCCAGUUGGCAGGGUAACGGCCUACCAAAGCGACGAUCAGUAGCCGGCCUGAGAGGGUGAACGGCCACAUUGGGACUGAGACACGGCCCAAACUCCUACGGAAGGCAGCAG
rnacentral:rRNA from 1 species